AAUGAACGUUGGCGGCGUGGAUUAGGCAUGCGAGUCGUGCGAGAACCGUAGCAAUACGGGGAAAGCGGCGAAAGGGAGAGGAAUACGCGGGUACCUACCCUCGGACCUGGGAUAGCUACGGGAAACUGUAGGUAAUACCAGAUAAUGUCUCCGGACCAAAGGUGUGAUUCCGUCCGGGGAGGGGCCCACGUCCUAUUAGCUAGUUGGUGAGGUAACGGCUCACCAAGGCGAAGAUGGGUACGGGAUGUGAGAGCAUGAUCCCGCUCAUUGGGACUGAGACACUGCCCAGACACCUACGGGUGGCUG
rnacentral:rRNA from 1 species